GUGAAUGCAUGUGCAGGUCGUUAGAUGCUGCGCCUCCAGAAGGGCUGCACCACUUUGCGUUCCCACCCACGACGUCUGAGGCCGUUUCCCCACAGCUUUGCCCGCACCGUGUGUUGAACUUUUGAAGGUUUGCCGAUCUGACGGAUGGGAAAUAGCAUCUCAGCGUGGCUUCGAUGUGCAUCUCUUUUCACAUGUCUAAGGACCAUUUGUGUGUAUGUCCCUUUGUGGGAACUGUUUUCAUGUAGUUUGCUCAUUUUUCUAUAUGAUUUUUGUGUUUGUUUCUCAACUUUUAGAAGUUCUAUGCCUCUCAACAUUAACCUUUUAUCUAUGAAGAGUGUUUUAUGGUUUCUUUCACAUGGGCUGAGAACAUUUCUCGCUGGAUUUAUGGCCUAGGGUUGGAGAGGCGAGCUCUGGCUGUGCGUUCUCAGUCUUCUGCUCUUCCCGCCCUCGCGUCACCUGGCUCUCUGCCCUGUGGGGCCACUCCAUGGGCCUCUUGUCCUCCAGUUUCUGGCUGUGUUUGGCCAAUAGCCCCCUGGAGAGAACCAGCCAAGGAGCCAUAAGCCUUCACUCCCAGCUCGCCGCCUGCCAGGCCGGAUAGGCUGCAACUUCUACGAGGCUGCGCCCACCCCCAGCUGUGACUACAGCCUCUCUGGGGUCUGGCAAUGCUCUUCAGGCCUGGGGGGGUCCUGAUUCCCCUGUGGCUACUUCUGGUUGCUUCACAGUCCACUGUUAGUUUCCUCAAUGCACUGAAGUCAGCCCCUUCCUCAGACCCUCUCCAGCACCCUGUUGGUGUGGGCCCUCUGCCACCUGCCAGGUCUCUGACUGAAGCACUCACCCAGCACCCUCACCUCUAAGGACAGAGCACCUUAGUUUGUAUGUGGGGAGCCCAACCCCCAUGCUCUCUGAUUCUAUUCCACUGGGCAGACCCCACUGCCAGCUCCCAGGCUGGCUCGUGACCAAGGCCAGCUGCUCAGAGUGUGCUGUCCCUGUAGCAGGAGGGAGGAAUGGCACGUGCCCCAUGGCAGUACAGGCACUUCCUUUGGGUCUGUUUCUAGAGCUAUUAGGAAGGAAGCAUUCUCUCUUCAGCUGAGAAGGGAAGCAGUACAAGCUGUCCUUGUCACCAGGAAGCACAAGCCUCCCUCAAACUAAAGCAGAAGACUGAGUCCUGGUGACAGAGCUGAGCGCCUGGAUCCAGCUGUACCUGAAGCCCUGAAUUCACCUCCAGUCUUUUCUGUUACAUGAGCCAAUAAAGUCAACCUUUGGAUUAGCUAGUUUGGUCUUAUUUCUGUCACACCCAGAGUCCCCUGACUUACACACAAGUCUUGGGGGGAGUUAUGCU